AUUGGGUUGAGAAACUACAAUUCUUUAGUUUAACAAAGUGGCUGAACAGUUCAUCACGUUAUGUCUGGGGUACACAGCAAAGGAUCAGUAUUAAACUUAACAGAACUUCAGGCGAACGCUCUAAAACGUAUUAUCGCUCUUCAACACCAAGACAUUCUGGUCAAAAAUGAGCGGCUAAGAGGGGUAGAGGACUUAACAAGAAUAUGCAGUGAAUUGGAAGAAAAACGGCAGGGUUCGGAGAGAAAGGCGGACAAUUAUGAAAAUAUGCCCUAAGACGAGCGGAAGCGAGAAUCGCGUAUUUGAACAAUAAGCUUGGAAUAGGGUCUCAAACUAGUUUCGAUAUCGAUGUAAUCAAUCCUGGGAUUUCAAGAAAGGAUUUUGACGCAGUUACCAAAGAAAAUAUCAGACUAAAAGAAGCGUUGGAACAUAUCGUACCAACAGAAUUGGGCGGUAAAGACAUAGUCAUUGUAAGUAUGAUAGAAAUUUAAU